UACGUAGGGUGCGAGCGUUGUCCGGAUUUAUUGGGCGUAAAGAGCUCGUAGGCGGUUUGUCGCGUCGGCCGUGAAAUCUCCACGCUUAACGUGGAGCGUGCGGUCGAUACGGGCAGACUUGAGUUCGGUAGGGGAGACUGGAAUUCCUGGUGUAGCGGUGAAAUGCGCAGAUAUCAGGAGGAACACCGGUGGCGAAGGCGGGUCUCUGGGCCAUAACUGACGCUGAGGAGCGAAAGCGUGGGGAGCGAACAGG
rnacentral:rRNA from 1 species